rnacentral:rRNA from 1 species
UACGUAGGGUGCGAGCGUUAAUCGGAAUUACUGGGCGUAAAGCGUGCGCAGGCGGUUCGUUAAGUUCGUUGUGAAAGCCCCGGGCUCAACCCGGGAACUGCGUCCGAUACUGGAAGGCUUGAAUCCGGGAGAGGGAUGCGGAAUUCCAGGUGUAGCGGUGAAAUGCGCAGAUAUCAGGAGGAACACCGGUGGCGAAGGCGGGUCUCUGGGCCGAUAUUGACGCUGAGGAGCGAAAGCGUGGGGAGCAACCGGG